rnacentral:SRP_RNA from 1 species
GGGAUCAGCAGCUGCGAGGACAUGGGAGAGAAGCGGAGAAUUCUGCAACAAGCAGCUUCCCCGGGGCAACGGCUCCCGGAAGACGCGC